UUAUUCACCCUUGUCUUUUGCGUACUUCUUGUUUCCUUGGUGGGUUCGCCCACCACUAGGACAAACAUAAACCUUUUGUAAUUGCAAUCAGCGUCAGUAACAAAUUAAUAAUUACAACUUUCAACAACGGAUCUCUUGGUUCUGGCAUCGAUGAAGAACGCAGCGAAAUGCGAUAAGUAGUGUGAAUUGCAGAAUUCAGUGAAUCAUCGAAUCUUUGAACGCACAUUGCGCCCUUUGGUAUUCCAAAGGGCAUGCCUGUUCGAGCGUCAUUUGUACCCUCAAGCUUUGCUUGGUGUUGGGCGUCUUGUCUCUAGCUUUGCUGGAGACUCGCCUUAAAGUAAUUGGCAGCCGGCCUACUGGUUUCGGAGCGCAGCACAAGUCGCACUCUCUAUCAGCAAAGGUCUAGCAUCCAUUAAGCCUUUUUUCAACUUUUGACCUCGGAUCAGGUAGGGAUACCCGCUGAACUUAAGCAUAUCAAUA
rnacentral:rRNA from 1 species